AACUCUCCUCUACCCCAAUCUUCUCCUGCCCUCUCCUCUGCUUCCCCGGCCUCCCCCUUCUGACUCUCCUCUCCCCUCUUUGUAUCCCCCAUCUUGCCUCCCUGCUUCCCACAUCCGACCACCCGACCUCUCUCCUCAGACGUGGACGAAUGUCGCGAGCGAGGCCCAGCCCUGUGCGGGUCGCAGCGCUGUGAGAACUCUCCCGGCUCCUACCGCUGUGUCCGGGACUGCGAUCCUGGGUACCACGCGGGCCCCGAGGGCACCUGUGACGAUGUGGAUGAGUGCCAAGAAUAUGGUCCCGAGAUUUGUGGAGCCCAGCGUUGUGAGAACACCCCUGGCUCCUACCGCUGCACACCAGCCUGUGACCCUGGCUAUCAGCCCACGCCAGGGGGCGGAUGCCAGGGUGGGUGUCCAUCAGGCAUCGGGUGAGAUGUGGAGAUGGUAGAAGGUCCAGAAAUGGCCUGACUGUCUGGUGGUUGCAGAUGUGGACGAAUGCCGGAACCGGUCCUUCUGCGGUGCCCACGCCGUGUGCCAGAACCUGCCCGGCUCCUUCCAGUGCCUCUGUGACCAGGGUUACGAG
rnacentral:lncRNA from 10 species